GCUCACUUAGGCCAUGCAUAUACUGAAAUUAGAAUGAUACAGAGAAGAUUAGCAUGGCCCCUGUGCAAGGAUGGUAUGCAAAUUUGUGAAGCGUUCCAUAUGUUU